rnacentral:tRNA from 2 species
UAAAAAUUAGUUAACUUCAAUAAUAUAAGUUUGUCAAACUUAAGUAAUCCCAGAUAUUUUUAA